GUGGGGAAUCUUAGACAAUGGGGGAAACCCUGAUCUAGCCAUGCCGCGUGAUCGAUGAAGGCCUUAGGGUUGUAAAGAUCUUUCAGGUGGGAAGAUAAUGACUGUACCACCAGAAGAAGCCCCGGCUAACUCCGUGCCAGCAGCCGCGGUAAUACGGAGGGGGCUAGCGUUGUUCGGAAUUACUGGGCGUAAAGCGCACGUAGGCGGAUUGGAAAGUUGGGGGUGAAAUCCCGGGGCUCAACCCCGGAACUGCCUUCAAAACUCCCAGUCUUGAGUUCGAGAGAGGUGAGUGGAAUUCCGAGUGUAGAGGUGAAAUUCGUAGAUAUUCGGAGGAACACCAGUGGCGAAGGCGGCUCACUGGCUCGAUACUGACGCUGAGGAGCGAAAGCGUGGGGAGCAAACAGGAUUAGAUACCCGAGUAGUCC
rnacentral:rRNA from 1 species